AGGAGUCUUGUUGAAUACAGUGGGUAAGCACUUGGCUGCUAACCAAAAGGUCGGUGGUUCAAAUCCACCAGCUGCUC
rnacentral:tRNA from 1 species